rnacentral:rRNA from 1 species
AGAGUUUGAUCCUGGCUCAGGAUGAACGCUGGCGGCGUGCUUAACACAUGCAAGUCGAACGGUGAAGCCAAGCUUGCUUGGUGGAUCAGUGGCGAACGGGUGAGUAACACGUGAGCAACCUGCCCUGGACUCUGGGAUAAGCGCUGGAAACGGCGUCUAAUACUGGAUAUGAGACGUGAUCGCAUGGUCGUGUUUGGAAAGAUUUUUCGGUCUGGGAUGGGCUCGCGGCCUAUCAGCUUGUUGGUGAGGUAAUGGCUCACCAAGGCGUCGACGGGUAGCCGGCCUGAGAGGGUGACCGGCCACACUGGGACUGAGACACGGCCCAGACUCCUACGGGAGGCAGCAGUGGGGAAUAUUGCACAAUGGGCGAAAGCCUGAUGCAGCAACGCCGCGUGAGGGAUGACGGCCUUCGGGUUGUAAACCUCUUUUAGCAGGGAAGAAGCGAAAGUGACGGUACCUGCAGAAAAAGCGCCGGCUAACUACGUGCCAGCAGCCGCGGUAAUACGUAGGGCGCAAGCGUUAUCCGGAAUUAUUGGGCGUAAAGAGCUCGUAGGCGGUUUGUCGCGUCUGCUGUGAAAUCCCGAGGCUCAACCUCGGGCCUGCAGUGGGUACGGGCAGACUAGAGUGCGGUAGGGGAGAUUGGAAUUCCUGGUGUAGCGGUGGAAUGCGCAGAUAUCAGGAGGAACACCGAUGGCGAAGGCAGAUCUCUGGGCCGUAACUGACGCUGAGGAGCGAAAGGGUGGGGAGCAAACAGGCUUAGAUACCCUGGUAGU